AAGUCGUAACAAGGUUUCCGUAGGUGAACCUGCGGAAGGAUCAUUACCGUUGCGGAGGGACCUGGACCGGACGGUUCAGGUCACUCUACGACUCCUACCUCUUGUCAUUUGCUCGGUCGGGGCUUCGCGCGGCAGGUCACCUGUCGCGUGGGGCCUAGGCCGCGAAUAUUUCGGCGGAUUCGGCGAGGGAGCUCUGCUCCUUCGCUGGCCGUCGGCCGUAUUUCCACAGCUCUUGUGAUCAACCUGAAGUCUGAGAUGUACAUGCGAACAGAACAAAACUUUCAACAACGGAUCUCUUGGCUCUG
rnacentral:misc_RNA from 1 species